UACGAAGGGUGCAAGCGUUACUCGGAAUUACUGGGCGUAAAGGGUGCGUAGGUGGUUCGUUAAGUCUGAUGUGAAAGCCCUGGGCUCAACCUGGGAAUUGCAUUGGAUACUGGCGGGCUAGAGUGCGGUAGAGGGUAGUGGAAUUCCCGGUGUAGCAGUGAAAUGCGUAGAUAUCGGGAGGAACAUCCGUGGCGAAGGCGACUGCCUGGACCAGCACUGACACUGAGGCACGAAAGCGUGGGGAGCAAACAGGAUUAGAUACCCCGGUAGU
rnacentral:rRNA from 1 species